CUUCCUUCCUUCCUUUCUUCCUUCCUUCCUUCCUUCCCUUCUUUCUUUCUUUCUUUCUUUCUUUCUUUCUUUCUUUCUUUCUUUCUUUCUUUCUUUCUUUCUUUCUCUUCCUUCCUUCCUUUUUCUUUCUCUCUCUCUUUCUUUCUCUCUUUCUUUCUUUCUCUCUUUCUUUCUUUCUUUCUUUCUUUCUUUCUUUCUUUCUUUCUUUCUUUCUCUCUCUCGCUCUCUCUCUCUCUCUUUCUUUCUUUCUCUUUCUGUUUCUUCCUUCCUUCUUUCUUUUAUAUCCUUCCUUCUGUAUCUCACAUGACUGAGAUAUUAUUCUUGCUCUCAUUCACUGAUAUCUGGUGUUGUGUCUGGUUUCUCAAAA
rnacentral:lncRNA from 1 species